rnacentral:lncRNA from 1 species
AUGGGAGUGUUAAUAAAAAAUUACAAAAUAAAAGAUAAAUCUGCCAAGCGCGCACAAAAACGAGAGCGAGAGACUGCAAUGCUAAAACUAUUUACCGACCAGGCCAAAAUGUUGGGGGAGAAAAAAGAGAUGAAGAAGGGAGGGAAACCCCCUCCGUACGCUGCACAGAUGCCUGUUCGGGAAAUAAGACUGUUGGGGGACUACUCGCUUAGAUCUGGCAGAUCAGGUAAAAGCAUUUACCCGGUCAAGGAGUUAAAAAAGGUCAGGGAAAUAGAGAUAGAGCUAGAUGACCUAGAGGAGCUGCCCGCCACAUAUGCAAAAGCAGCGCAGCUUGCAGGGAAAGACACUCGCCGCAUUAGUGGAUUGCAUGAUAAAGUAAUGCAGGACAUCAAACAAUCAGAGUGUGCAGAGGACGGCAGCGAGGCCGAAGAGGAAUAUGACGGAGAGAGUGCGACUGGGGAAAGCGAGAGGGUCCGGAGGUCACUGGCAGAUGUGGAAUAUUCUAAGCUGCCAGAUCCGAGCAUGGUGUCGACCCCCCGCUAUUUAAAGGAGGGGGCCAAGCCCAAGCAGCCAGGGAUGAAGAAACGAGUGAGUGUGGCUGCAGCGUUUGCUCCCGGGAGUGAGGUGGAGGAAGAGCAUGGAAAGAUGAAUGGAAUCAUCACACUCAGCUCCCAGGGACAGCCAGUGUCUUCAGAAGUGGUGGAGGAAGCAUCAGAGUACCUCCUGCUGGCCAAAGGUGCAAAUCUGCAGUAUGUGCCCUGGCCAACCAUGGAUCUGGAGGGGCUGGUACAAAGACUGCCCUGUCUGCAUGAUGGGGCAGGGAAGUGGAUUGCAGCUUUCGAAGAAGAGACCAUCGCCACUAUCCUGGCUAUGGGUGACCUCAAGGCCCUCCUGGGAAAAGUGCUGGGGAAACAGGAAAUGGAGGAAACGCUGAGAGCAGCACAGAUGAACGCGUAUGCUGGAACACAGGCACACGAUGGAGAACUAUUCAAUAGACAUCGCAACGCGCUGUGGACAACCCUGAGACUGCGCUAUCCAACCAGAAUCCAGCCUGACAGCAUUGUGGCAGUGCCAAUAAAAGAUGAUGAGAGCCCACAAGCCUAUGUUCACCACACGUAA